GCCCUGGUGGAGUAAUGGUUAAGUGCUCAGCUGCUAACCGAAAGGUUGGUGGUUCAAACCCACCCAACGGCU
rnacentral:tRNA from 1 species